UAAUAAUUUGGUUAUGGUUAACCAAUUAGCUCUGUUAUUAGAUUACACAUGCAAACAUAUGUACCCCCGUAAACCUAAGUGUCCCACAUCUAGAAGAUAAAGACCUAUUCGAUAUUAGCCUAACGACAAUGAGACUUACGCCUGCAGUGAAGAAUACUGAUAAAAUUAUGAAAAUAAGAUACGGUAAAUAACAACAAGACUGACCAAAUUCGUGCCAGCAGCCGCGGUUAAACGAUGGGUCUAAGCUAAUUACAACGGAGAAAUGAAACAGCCCUUAGAUAAUAAAAAUAAAACGCUAGGUUCAAUUUUAUAUACCAAAUAAAUAUAAUUAUCAACACAACAAUUCAACAAAGUUAAGACCAAAACAAGGAUUUGAUACCCUUCUAUUCUUAACCACAAUAACCACCUCCUGGCACUACGAGCACAUGCUUAAAACCUAAGAACUUGGCGGUGUCUCAACAUACUAGGGGAGCCUGUUUUAUAACUGAUACUCCGCGCUAUUCUUCACCUGAGCUUGAAUACGUCAGCCUGUGUACUGCCGUCCUAAGCCUACAUUGCAAUUUAGUAAGCCACAAAGACUAACCUCUCUCAUGUCAGGUCGUAGUGCAGCCCACGCUCAGGCCAAAAUGGGCUACAUUUUCUAAAAAUCCGGAAUGAUCUAUAAAUAGCUCACAAAGGCGGACUUAGCAGUAAACCACACAUAAUUCGUGUGCUUGAAGAAGUGAACUGAGAUGUGCACAAAUCGCCCGUCACUCUUUCUGAAAAGAAAGAUAAGUCGUAACAUAGUUAGUGUAAUGGAAAUUGCACUUACCAGAAU
rnacentral:ncRNA from 1 species